rnacentral:rRNA from 1 species
AGCGUAGGUGGUUGUGCAAGUUGUAUGUGAAAGCCCCGGGCUUAACUCGGGAACUGCAUACAAAACUGUACUUCUAGAGUGUGGGAGAGGCAAGUGGAAUUCCUAGUGUAGCGGUAGAAUGCGUAGAGAUUAGGAGGAACACCAGAGGCGAAGGCGGCUUGCUGGAACACAACUGACACUGAGGCUCGAAAGCGUGGGGAGCAAACA